rnacentral:rRNA from 1 species
UAACACCUGGAAACAGAUGCUAAUACCGGAUAACAACAGAUGAUGCCUAUCAACUGUUUAAAAGAUGGUUCUGCUAUCACUCUUGGAUGGACCUGCGGUGCAUUAGCUAGUUGGUAGGGUAACGGCCUACCAAGGCGAUGAUGCAUAGCCGAGUUGAGAGACUGAUCGGCCACAUUGGGACUGAGACACGGCCCAAACUCCUACGGGAGGCAGCAGCU